CGAAGCAGAACAGAUGACCGCUCUCCGUUCGCGGAGGGAGGAAAGUCCGGGCUCCACAGGGCAUGGUGCUGGAUAACGUCCAGCGGGGGCGACCCCAGGGAUAGUGCCACAGAGAGAAGUCCGCCUGCCGGAGCGUUAGCGAAGGCGGGUAAGGGUGAAAGGGUGAGGUAAGAGCUCACCGGGUCCGGCGGUGACGUCGGAUGCCAGGUAAACCCCACCAGGAGCAAGGCCGAAUAGGGAAGCGUUAAGGACGGCCCGUCCGAGCUUCCGGGUUGGCUGCUUGAGGCCGUCGGUAACGGCGGUCCCAGAGGAAUGGUCAUCGCCCGCCAAGGGGUAACCCGCGGCGGGAACAGAACCCGGCUUAUGGGCUGCUUCGGCCA
rnacentral:RNase_P_RNA from 2 species